GGCAAUUGGAACAGCCUCAGCUCUACAAUCUUCAACUAUUUUGUAUGAUGUAUCUAAUCUAAUGGUCGUAGAUAACAUUGCGGGUCUGGUAUAUACACGACAAUCUCGUUUAAUCAGCAUUUUCCUGGAUGUGUGAAACUCUCUUUGAUGGAAAUUGAUGGAGUUUGAGAAGUAAGGAGUUCGUGACAACAAAUAUGGAGCUCGCGGCCAUCAAUCCACCUGAAAGUGAUGGUGUCAUGGCGAAAUCAAACUGUGGAAGCAGUAGACCGGCCGCAAUGGGUACAGCGAAGAUGUU
rnacentral:misc_RNA from 1 species